rnacentral:rRNA from 1 species
AGUGAACGCUGGCGGUAGGCCUAACACAUGCAAGUCGAACGGCAGCACAGGAGAGCUUGCUCUCCGGGUGGCGAGUGGCGGACGGGUGAGGAAUACACCGGAAUCUACUUUUUCGUGGGGGAUAACGUAGGGAAACUUACGCUAAUACCGCAUACGACCUACGGGUGAAAGCAGGGGACCUUCGGGCCUUGCGCGAUUGAAUGAGCCGAUGUCGGAUUAGCUAGUUGGCGGGGUAAAGGCCCACCAAGGCGACGAUCCGUAGCUGGUCGGAGAGGAUGAGCAGCCACACUGGAAGUGAGACAGGGGCCAGCCUCCUACGGGAGGCAGCAGUGGGGAAUAUUGGACGAUGGGCGCAAGCCUGAUUCAGCCAUACCGCGUGGGUGAAGAAGGCCUUCGGGUUGUAAAGCCCUUUUGUUGGGAAAGAAAUCCAGCUGGCUAAUACCCGGUUGGGAUGACGGUACCCAAAGAAUAAGCACCGGCUAACUUCGUGCCAGCCGCCGCCGUAA